rnacentral:rRNA from 1 species
AUGCUCGUCUACCAAGUACUUGAAGAAAAAAUCCACAUCUCGCUCUCGCCUCGCCAUCAUGUGCAUGAUCACCGUUUUAGCAUCAGCGGCACUGAUUGUCUCCUGCUUAUUAGCAUGGCAGAAAUUAUAAAUGUCCCUCUUCAUGCAUCCAACCUUAUCAAAUCCACCAUAUUGAAAGCACAAAAUAUCCAUAAUAUGGUAUUUGCGGAUCCCACUUUUUCCAUGUCCGCAAUGUCCGCUUUCUGCUCAUCGCUAAUUCGUCUGUGCGAACACAGCAGACAAGAAAGAUCCCGUGGGGCUAGAGGAUGGCUGUGCUCAUCGAUGAAAUCCUUAACAAACCACCGACCGGUUUCCUCCUGUCUCGUAAUGACCAAUUUAGCAUUACACCCAACACGAGUUAAACUUCGUGGCCUCCUCUUUCUAUCUUCCAUCUUUCUUUUCAUGUGCUUCUCUUCGCGAAACCCUUGA